AUUGAACGCUGGCGGCAGGCCUAACACAUGCAAGUCGCGCGAGCGGCGGACGGGUGAGUAAUGUAUGGGGACUGCCCGAUAGAGGGGGAUCACUACUGGAAACGGUAGCUCAUACCCCAUACUAGCGGAUCACCCAUAUGGGCUUAGCUAGUAGGUGAGGUAAUGGCUCAACUAGGCGACGAUCCCUAGCUGUUCUGAGCGGAGGAUCAGCCACACGGGAACUGAGACACGGCCCAGACGCCUACGGAGGCAGCAGUGGGGAAUAUGGCGCAAUGGGCGAAAGCCUGAUGCAGCCAUGCCGCGUGUGUGAAGAAGGCCCUAGGGUUGUAAAGUACGUUCAGUCGGGAGGCGUUACCGACAGAAGAAGCACCGGCUAACUCCGUGCCAGCAGCCGCGGUAAUAC
rnacentral:rRNA from 1 species